rnacentral:rRNA from 1 species
GAUGAACGCUAGCGGCAGGCUUAAUACAUGCAAGUCGUGGGGCAGCAGGACUGUAGCAAUACAGUUGCUGGCGACCGGCAAACGGGUGCGGAACACGUACGCAACUUACCCUGAACUGGGGGAUAGCCCGGGGAAACCCGGAUUAAUACCCCGUAAUAUAAUGGAGUGGCAUCACUUUAUUAUUAAAGCUCCGGCGGUUCGGGAUGGGCGUGCGGCUGAUUAGGUAGUUGGUUGAGGUAACGGCUCACCAAGCCUACGAUCAGUAACUGGUGUGAGAGCACGACCAGUCACACGGGCACUGAGACACGGGCCCGACUCCUACGGGAGGCAGCAGUAAGGAAUAUUGAGCAAUGGAGGCAACUCUGACCCAGCCAUGCCGCGUGGAGGAUGAAGGCCCUCUGGGUUGUAAACUUCUUUUAUAGGGGACGGAACCUGUGUAUUCUUACGCAGUUGACGGUACCCUAGGAAUAAGCACCGGCUAACUCCGUG